rnacentral:lncRNA from 1 species
UUUUUAAAAAUCCGAACCCGAACCCGAAAACCAAAUUAAAACCUGUAUCCGGACCCAAACCCGACGGGUUUUAAAAAUCCAUACCCAUAUCCAUACCCGACAAAAAAUUCGAAAUCCGAACCCGAAUCCGAAUCCGGCAGGUUUUAAAAAUUCAUGCCGUUGAAUGAAGAUCUAAAGCAUAAAAAUUAUUAAAUAUUUUAUAUAUUAUAUAAAUAAAUAUAAUUUAUUCGGGUUCGGGUUUCGGGUCGGAUAAAUACAAAAUCCAUACUCGUAUCCAUGUCCGUCGGAUUUUUAUUUUCCAUACCCAUAACCGAAUCCAUACCCGUUUAGUUCGGAUAAAUCCGCCCGUUCGGGUUCGGUUCGGAUAAUAUUUUGGAUAUUCAUAUCCAUCGACAUUCCUUAUACAGAGUUAAUUUCACC